AAAUUGAUCAGUUGUUAUGGAACUGCAUUUGGUCCUGGGACGGCGCCGGCUAGCUCCCGAAUCCCCAGGGCGGAGUAUCCCCAAUGUCCCUACAGAUUCCACAACAUAAACAUCGAUAUACGCGCGUCUCACUUCACAAAAACUAUCGCCCAUCACUAACAAACAAAACAAACCAAAAUGUAAACAAUGCAAACAAUUAGGAGUGACGGGAAAUAUAUGGUGUUUUGGUGGCUAUUGGUGACCUAGCCAAGCACGCCCACCCAACCAAGGAUGCCCCGGAUAAUUCUGAGGAGGCAUCACCCAUAAUCAGCUGGUCGAAGUCACUCCUCGCGACUAGGACAGCUCCAUCUCCCCCACAGCGACAACUCACUCGCACAUUUCGGUCUUCAUGUACAUUUAAUAUCCACACCUUUACGACCAAACUUGGCCACCGUCUACAAAUUUACGCGGUCAAAGCGGAAGAUUACCUUCCUUUGGCAAAGACUACAGGCGCCGCGGAAAUAAUGUUCCACCAGACAUGUAUUGGUGGAACUCGCAGUGGAACGAGGCGCAAAAAAGGGCACACACUAGGUAUGUGUCGGGUCACCUAAUCCUGAGGAGCUCCUAGGGAAAAGAAGGGACAGGCCAAACGGCAACAACGAGGACAACUAAGGUUUUCGGGUCUAAGUCCGGAUAAAUUUACAGGUCAACAGCCACUUCUGGGCUAGGCGCCGGGCUAAACAUGCCCCGACUGCAGCGUACUCUGCCGGAGGCCAGCAGCAAUAAGGGCCUGGAACACCCCGAGGAACUGUGGCGAAGGCGAGCCUGAUGGCGGUGACUUUCAACGCCGCGCGAAAUGGCCAGCCAGUUACUCCAAGGCGACUUAACAGCCAGGAACGGACUCACCGGCGUAUUUUAGACAGCGUUGGCGGCGUCCGAGGAUGGCGAGUUAUUGUG